rnacentral:rRNA from 1 species
CAAUAGCGUAUAUUAAAGUUGUUGCAGUUAAAAAGCUCGUAGUUGGAUUUCUGGUCGGAGCGACCGGUCGGCGUCCUUUGUGGCGUGUGCACUGUUGUCGGCUCCGUCCAUCCUAGUGGGAAGGCGUGUUGGCAUUCAUUUGUCGGCGCGUGGCCCCGCUACGUUUACUGUGAAAAAAUUAGAGUGUUUAAAGCAGGCGUUCGCUGUGAAUACAUUAGCAUGGAAUAAUGAGAUAGGACUUUGGUACUAUUUUGUUGGUUUGCGCACCAAGGUAAUGAUUAAUAGGGAUAGUUGGGGGUAUUCAUAUUCAAUUGUCAGAGGUGAAAUUCUUGGAUUUAUGGAAGAUGAACUUAUGCGAAAGCAUUUACCAAGGAUGUUUNCAUUA